rnacentral:lncRNA from 1 species
CAUGACCAGCAGGCCUGGCUACAGGCAGCAAGCACCAAACCCCAUUCCAGAUGCCAGGAAAGGCACACACAGGCCUGGCGCAGGUGGGCUGUCUUCUGGCCGCUCCCUGGGUGGACUGGUCUUGGAGACUGGACGGAGUGCUCAAUGUCAGGAGGAAGCCACGACUCACUCACUGGAGAACACGAGAGACAGCCGGCGCCGCCCCGAGGAGUGAGCGGAGGAUCUGCCUGGAGCUAGCCAGCCUCAUGGCCUGGACAGACACCUCAGUGAGCCUGUGAUCAGGGCCCUCGGAGCAGAGCCAGCUGCAGGGAGGCAAGUCAGGAGGCCUUUCCUUGAGGCCAGGAGAGAAGAACAAGCCAGCAGGAGGGCAGGACAGACUCCAGAGACACUCGUUGAGAAAACUGGCUUCAGCUCCAGAGUGGGGGGCAGAGGGGCUGCUCCGCCUGGGCAGCGUGGGGACUGCUGCCGGCCGGGAAGCUGCCAAGAGCCCGGGAGAGGAGGGCAGAGGGCACAGCACUCCUUCUUCAUAGACAGCAGGGACAAAGGUGGAGGGUGACUACGUCACUCUCGAUUCCCCGCCUUUCUGGGAAGGCCUCAUCAUGAAACAUUUUCGGCAUCAUAAUACUGGCUUAUAAAUGUUCGUAUACCCAAUUCCCAAACCAUUGAUUAAUUUAUUAAAGCUAUGAUUUACGUAAGGAUGAGCAUUUAAUUAGAGAAGAGCUUCUACCAUUUCACCAACCCAGGCAGUGGGGAAGGGGUGGAAAGGGGCGGCUGCUGUCCCAGGGGCAGUCCUUGGUGUCCUCCUGGUCCAGGCUUUCUUCCCUCCCUUCACUGGCCUCCAGAGCCAGGUGCUGCGCUGCCUGCACUAGAAGCCCUGCCCUAGGCUGUGCUGAGCAUGCGCACACACCCCCCACAGCAGGGCUCCCGCGUCAGUGGCCUCACUCCACCCUGCUCUCCCAGCGAGCCUGCUGUCCAUAGUCUGGCAGGUCUCCUCUUCACGUUCAGUGACACAACUGCUCGGCGCAUUAUAGAGGCCUCUGAAAGGCUAUGUGUUCACGAUCCUCCCAUGGAGGGGCUCAGAGGAGCGGCCUAAGAGGAGAUGCCUGCACUGUGCAGGAAAGAGGGGCUCCCUGCAGAGCCAGUGCCGUUGGUGGGGCUCAGGCUCCCAGGGUAGGGGCAGGAGUGGUCUCCACAGUGCACAUUUGCACGUAUGUUAGGACGAGGCUAUGGGGCACAGAGGGGCCAUUUGCCCUGCCUGGAGACUGGUCUAGGGUUGCAGGGCCCACAUGUACUGCAUGCCCCCAAAAGGGUCAGGGGAAGGCUUCCUCCAUCCCCUUGGGGCCACAGCCUCCUACUUGCCUAGGGAAACAUGGCUCUUGGAGGCCCAGGGAGGCCACUACCCUGCUGAGCAGGCAGGCCCCAAACUAAGGUGGAGACCACAGCGAUCGCAGCAGGGCAGCAGAAGCUGGUCUCAGGCUGGUGGGUGAAAGCUGAGGUUACUGGCAGUUGCCAUGGCAUGGUGAGAUUGCCAGGAUGAGGGCCCACUUGAAGAACAUGCCUGCACUGCCCUAGAGCUGCAUCUUCCUGGCAGCAGAAUGUCAGGGGAACCAGGCCUCCCCGCUUCAAGUGGGACAAAUGUAUGAGCCUGGGGGGCAGGUGGGGAGGGCCCUGCAGGGUGCCUGGGCAGCCUGUGGAGGAACAGCGGGGAUUCCCUUCGCACCGGGUGUAGCCAGCUGCACGGCAUUAACAGCCACUUGUCCUUCAGAACUUUGCUCUUCAGGUGGGGUCUGGGGUGAGGAAACCCAGUAACCCAGGAUUUGCACAAGGAAAGUAGCUUCCUGUGGCUUGGCUUCUUACGAGUGUCUAAAAGAACCGUCCUGGUACCGCUAGGCCACAAAAUGUUCAGAAAACACUGCAAGAGACACUGGGACACUCUAAAGCCAGGCCCAGAGAAGGAAUGCCGAGGAGAGAGAGGAGGAAUGCCAAAGAGAGGCCCAGCGGGAAGGGGUUCUGCCCAGCACCCUCUGCCUGGUCCCGGGCUCCCUGUGCAGGGAGCUAUGCCAGUGUGCUGAGGGUGUUCGAUGAGGACAGCAGCUCACAAUUGCAGAAGCCACGGACUCCUGGAGAAAUGGACCACGCACCUUCUCCCCAGCAAAGUGUCCUCUCUCCAAAGAGCUUUGAAUCUCAGAGAAUCUGAAGGCCCCCACCACGUGGGGCCCAUCCAGAGCCCUGGCCCAGAGCAGCAGAGGACAGGCUUAUACCCCUGCUCUGGAGUUGUGAAACCGUGGCACCCUGGAGUUGUGAAAUGCCAUCUCAAACUCGGCCAAUGGCCCUUCCAUCCCUGUCCCAGCUCCUACACUAGCUCUUUCCAUUAUAAGGAGGCCGGGAAGUAAUCCAGCUUCACCUGGUAAGUUCGACCUGUGAAAUGUGGGAAGACACAAGUCAGACACAACACCUUCUGUCCACACCGCUGGCACAAGGCUUCCAGUUGGGCAGAGCUGCUAGGGGGCACGGGGACAGAGGUGGAGCUCCUCCAUCCAGCCCCCAAAGGAGCCUGGGCAUGACCGUGGGUACUCAGAGCAGGCUGCCUCCUGAGGGACCAGAAGUCAAGCGUGCGACGGGCUGCGGGGCGGAGAGGCCACUCUGCCUCCAGGGACACACACUCUCCCAGGCCCACUUCCCUGUGGCCAAGGAGGAAAGCCGAGCAGGCACCUUUGAGUUGCACACAACGGACACACAGCACAGAGCCCACCCAGCCUGAGUAUUUACCAUCCGCCUUUCAUGGAAAUGCCGGCACCUGCUCCAGAGGAUACAGGAAUGACAGGGAUGGAGGACGGGAGGGACUCCCAGCCUGCGGGGAGGCUCCUGCAUGUGCCCAGCAGACUUUCAGCAGGGCUGGGCUGCAGGAGUGCCCAGCAUUUCCCAUUUCAGCUCCACUGGAAAGUGCGGCUGGUUCAAGUUGUUGCGAACUGAUCCCACCCAUGUAUACUGGGGUGGGAGGGCAGUGGGCAGCUUCUCGGCUCAGGUUUCCAGAGCACGAGGGGGCAGAUCCAGAGCGAGAGUAACUCACCGUAUUAAGAGUCUGGGCAUUAAGCCUGGUGCCAUGAAGGGACCAGACUUUGGGGCCAUCUUCCUUGGGUAGGGUUUAUUUUGCAUGGGGAAAGCUGGGAAGCAAAUAUUUGUGACCAGAAGGGCAAAUGAUGGUGACUGAAUUACUGCUCAUGCAUAUUCACUGCCUGUCCCUGGGAGAGGCCUACACUUCCCACCCCCUGAAGUCUUGGCCAGUUGGCGUCUCUUGUGGGAAGAAUAACUCCCGUCCUGCGGGUGGUUGUCUGUGCUCUCACUGCUCUGCUCCAACACCAACGACACUCCAGAUGGGGACUGCACUAGUUGCUUGGGAAGGGGUUGAAGACAAGAGCCACAGCUGACACAGGUGAACAGGAAAUAAACUUGUCUAUGUAUCAGC